UAGGGAAUCUUCCGCAAUGGACGCAAGUCUGACGGAGCAACGCCGCGUGAGUGAAGAAGGAUUUCGGUUCGUAAAACUCUGUUGUUAGAGAAGAACAGCGCAUAGAGUAACUGUUAUGCGUGUGACGGUAUCUAACCAGAAAGCCACGGCUAACUACGUGCCAGCAGCCGCGGUAAUACGUAGGUGGCAAGCGUUGUCCGGAUUUAUUGGGCGUAAAGCGAGCGCAGGCGGUCAAUUAAGUCUGAUGUGAAAGCCCCCGGCUCAACCGGGGAGGGUCAUUGGAAACUGGUUGACUUGAGUGCAGAAGAGGAGAGUGGAAUUCCAUGUGUAGGGGUAAAAUGCGUAGAUAUAUGGAGGAACACCGGUGGCGAAAGCGGCUCUCUGGUCUGUAACUGACGCUGAGGCUCGAAAGCGUGGGGAGCGAACAGG
rnacentral:rRNA from 1 species